GAUGAACGCUGGCGGCGUGCCUCAAACAUGCAAGUCGAGCGAGGCUAUGAAUUACCGCAAGGUAAGGCAUAGCCUAGCGGCGAACGGGUGAGUAACACGUGGGUAACCUACCUGGAAGACAGGGAUAACGAUUCGAAAGGGUCGCUAAUACCUGAUAAUAUCCGUCUGCCGGAUGGCGGAGGGAAGAAAGGGGAAACCCGCUUUCAGAUGGGCCCGCGUCCCAUCAGCUAGUUGGUAAGGUAAAGGCUUACCAAGGCGACGACGGGUAGCCGGUCUGAGAGGAUGUACGGCCACACUGGGACUGAGAUACGGCCCAGACUCCUACGGGAGGCAGCAGUUGGGAAUCUUAGGCAAUGGACGAAAGUCUGACCUAGCGACGCCGCGUGAGGGAAGAAGGCCUUCGGUUGUAAACCUCUGUCAUGGGGAAGAAGGAAGUGACGGUACCCAACGAGGAAGCCCUGCUAACUACGUG
rnacentral:rRNA from 1 species